GACAGAGGGUGCAAACGUUGUUCGGAAUUACUGGGCGUAAAGCGUGUGUAGGCGGCCGCGUAAGUCGGAUGUGAAAGCCCUGGGCUCAACCUAGGAAGUGCACUCGAAACUGCAGAACUGGAGUCCUGGAGAGGAAGGCGGAAUUCUCGGUGUAGAGGUGAAAUUCGUAGAUAUCGAGAGGAACACCGGUGGCGAAGGCGGCCUUCUGGACAGUGACUGACGCUGAGACGCGAAAGCGUGGGGAGCAAACAGGAUUAGAAACCCUUGGAUAC
rnacentral:rRNA from 1 species